CAGCAGCCGCGGGAAUACGGAGGGCGCGAGCGUUACCCGGAUUUACUGGGCGUAAAGGGCGUGUAGGCGGCCUGGGGCGUCCCAUGUGAAAGGCCACGGCUCAACCGUGGAGUAGCGUGGGAUACGCUCAGGCUAGAGGGUGGGAGAGGGUGGUGGAAUUCCCGGAGUAGCGGUGAAAUGCGCAGAUACCGGGAGGAACGCCGAUGGCGAAGGCAGCCACCUGGUCCACUUCUGACGCUGAGGCGCGAAAGCGUGGGGAGCAAACCGGAUUAGAUACCCGCGUAGUCCCUGUCUCUUAUAC
rnacentral:rRNA from 1 species